UAGGGAAUCUUCCGCAAUGGACGCAAGUCUGACGGAGCAACGCCGCGUGAGUGAAGAAGGAUUUCGGUUCGUAAAACUCUGUUGUUAGAGAAGAACAGCGCAUAGAGUAACUGUUAUGCGUGUGUCGGUAUCUAACCAGAAAGCCACGGCUAACUACGUGCCGGCAGCCGCGGUAAUACGUAGGUGGCAAGCGUUGUCCGGAUUUAUUGGGCGUAAAGCGAGCGCAGGCGGUCAAUUAAGUCUGAUGUGAAAGCCCCCGGCUCAACCGGGGAGGGUCAUUGGAAACUGGUUGACUUGAGUGCAGAAGGGGAGAGUGGAAUUCCAUGUGUAGCGGUGAAAUGCGUAGAUAUAUGGAGGAACACCAGUGGCGAAGGCGACUCUCUGGUCUGUAACUGACGCUGAGGUUCGAAAGCGUGGGUAGCAAACAGG
rnacentral:rRNA from 1 species